rnacentral:rRNA from 1 species
UACGGAGGGAGCUAGCGUUGUUCGGAAUUACUGGGCGUAAAGCGCGUGCAGGCGGCCUUGCAAGUCGGACGUGAAAUCCCACGGCUCAACCGUGGAAGUGCAUUCGAAACUGCGAGGCUGGAGUCCUGGAGAGGAAAGUGGAAUACUCGGUGUAGAGGUGAAAUUCGUAGAUAUCGAGUGGAACACCGGUGGCGAAGGCGGCUUUCUGGACCGACACUGACGCUGAGGCGCGAAAGCUAGGGGAGCAAACGGG